UCAAUGUUGAAGCAGGACUACAAGGAUGAUAUUACAAGAGAAGAGGCAGUUCAGCUGGCACUAAAGGUGCUCAGCAAGACAAUGGAUAGUACCAGUCUUACUUCUGAUAAGCUUGAAUUGGCUGAGGUCUUCGUCCUCCCCUCUGGAGAAGUGAAGUACCAGGUUCGUUCACCAGACUCCUUGAGCAAGUUAUUAGUGAAGUUUGGAGUGACUCAAGCUCCUGCUGAGGC
rnacentral:misc_RNA from 1 species